rnacentral:rRNA from 1 species
AUUGAACGCUGGCGGCAGGCCUAACACAUGCAAGUCGGGCGAGAGGCGGACGAGUGCGUAAUGUAUGGGGAUCUGCCUGAUGGAGGGGGAUAACUACUGGAAACGGUAGCUAAUACAGCAUACCAUCAACUGAACCACUAUGGGAUGCGCUUGUCGGUAAGGUAACGGCUUACCUAGGCGAAGAUCCCUAGCUGGUCUGAGAGGAUGAUACGUCACACGGGUACUGAGACAAGGCCCAUACUCCGACGGGAGGCAGCAGUGGGGAAGAUUGCACAAUGGGCGCAAGCCUGAUGCAGCCAUGCCGCGUGUAUGAAGAAGGCCUUCGGGUUGGAAAGUACUUUCAGUCGGGAGGCGGUACCGACAGAAGAAGCACCGGCUAACUCCGUGCCAGCAGCCGCGGUAAUUC